rnacentral:rRNA from 1 species
CGGCCGCGUCGACAUUGGGCGUAAAGCGAGCGCAGGCGGUUUGAUAAGUCUGAAGUUAAAGGCUGUGGCUCAACCAUAGUUCGCUUUGGAAACUGUCAAACUUGAGUGCAGAAGGGGAGAGUGGAAUUCCAUGUGUAGCGGUGAAAUGCGUAGAUAUAUGGAGGAACACCGGUGGCGAAAGCGGCUCUCUGGUCUGUAACUGACGCUGAGGCUCGAAAGCGUGGGGAGCGAACAGGAUUAGAUACCCUGGUAGUCCAUGCCGUAAACGUUGGGCGCUAGGUGUGGGACUCAUUCCACGAGCUCCGUGCCGCAGCUAACGCAUUAAGCGCCCCGCCUGGGGAGUACGGCCGCAAGGCUAAAACUCAAAGGAAUUGACGGGGGCCCGCACAAGCGGCGGAGCAUGCGGAUUAAUUCGAUGCAACGCGAAGAACCUUACCAAGGCUUGACAUAUACCGGAAACUUCCAGAGAUGGUUGCCCCCUUUGGGUCGGUAUCAGGUGGUGCAUGGUUGUCGUCAGCUCGUGUCGUGAGUAG